rnacentral:rRNA from 1 species
GUGAGGAAUUUUCCGCAAUGGGCGAAAGCCUGACGGAGCAAUGCCGCGUGAAGGAUGAAGGCCUAUGGGUUGUAAACUUCUUUUCUUAGAGAAGAAUAUUGACGGUAUCUGAGGAAUAAGCAUCGGCUAACUCUGUGCCAGCAGCCGCGGUAAGACAGAGGAUGCAAGCGUUAUCCGGAAUGAUUGGGCGUAAAUCGUCUGUAGGUGGUUUCAAAAGUCUCCUGUCAAAGAUCAGGGCUUAACCCUGGGCCGACAGGAGAAACUCUGAGGCUAGAGUUUGGUAGGGGCAGAGGAAAUUCCCAGUGGAGCAGUGAAAUGCGUAGAGAUCGGGAGGAACACCAAAGGCGAAAGCACUCUGCUGGGCCACAACUGACACUGAGAGACGAAAGCGAGGGGAGCAAAAGGGAUUAGAAACCCCUGUAGUCC